rnacentral:miRNA from 14 species
CAUGUGCAUAUGUGUGUGUCUGUGUGUGUGCAUGUGCAUGUGUGUGUGUCUGUGUGUGUGUGCAUGUGCAUGUGUGUGUAUGUCUGUGUGUGUCUGUGUGUGUGUAUGUG